rnacentral:rRNA from 1 species
CACUCCUACGGGAGGCAGCAGUGGGGAAUAUUGCACAAUGGGCGGAAGCCUGAUGCAGCAACGCCGCGUGCGGGAUGACGGCCUUCGGGUUGUAAACCGCUUUCGCCUGUGACGAAGCGUGAGUGACGGUAAUGGGUAAAGAAGCACCGGCUAACUACGUGCCAGCAGCCGCGGUGAUACGUAGGGUGCGAGCGUUGUCCGGAUUUAUUGGGCGUAAAGGGCUCGUAGGUGGUUGAUCGCGUCGGAAGUGUAAUCUUGGGGCUUAACCCUGAGCGUGCUUUCGAUACGGGUUGACUUGAGGAAGGUAGGGGAGAAUGGAAUUCCUGGUGGAGCGGUGGAAUGCGCAGAUAUCAGGAGGAACACCAGUGGCGAAGGCGGUUCUCUGGGCCUUUCCUGACGCUGAGGAGCGAAAGCGUGGGGAGCGAACAGGCUUAGAUACCCUAGUAGUCCC